rnacentral:rRNA from 1 species
GAUGAACGCUGGCGGCGUGCCUAAUACAUGCAAGUCGAGCGAACAGACGAGGAGCUUGCUCCUCUGACGUUAGCGGCGGACGGGUGAGUAACACGUGGAUAACCUACCUAUAAGACUGGGAUAACUUCGGGAAACCGGAGCUAAUACCGGAUAAUAUAUUGAACCGCAUGGUUCAAUAGUGAAAGACGGUUUUGCUGUUACUUAUAGAUGGAUCCGCGCCGCAUUAGCUAGUUGGUAAGGUAACGGCUUACCAAGGCAACGAUGCGUAGCCGACCUGAGAGGGUGAUCGGCCACACGGGAACUGAGACACGGUCCAGACUCCUACGGGAGGCAGCAGUAGGGAAUCUUCCGCAAUGGGCGAAAGCCUGACGGAGCAACGCCGCGUGAGUGAUGAAGGUUUUCGGAUCGUAAAACUCUGUUAUUAGGGAAGAACAAAUGUGUAAGUAACUAUGCACGUCUUGACGGUACCUAAUCAGAAAGCCACGGCUAACUACGUG